rnacentral:snoRNA from 1 species
GACUGUGAUGACAACUCUUGUUCACAUGUAACUCGGGAAAGCUGACACCAUCGCCGAUGAGUACCGUUCAGAAUCGUUAGAUAGUAAAUCUGAUGUU